rnacentral:piRNA from 1 species
AGUGAGAUUAUUGGCCUAAGUCACCAU